GAUGAACGCUGGCGGCGUGCCUAAUACAUGCAAGUCGAGCGAACAGACGAGGAGCUUGCUCCUCUGACGUUAGCGGCGGACGGGUGAGUAACACGUGGAUAACCUACCUAUAAGACUGGGAUAACUUCGGGAAACCGGAGCUAAUACCGGAUAACAUGUUGAACCGCAUGGUUCAACAGUGAAAGACGGUCUUGCUGUCACUUAUAGAUGGAUCCGCGCCGCAUUAGCUAGUUGGUAAGGUAACGGCUUACCAAGGCAACGAUGCGUAGCCGACCUGAGAGGGUGAACGGCCACACUGGAACUGAGACACGGUCCAGACUCCUACGGGAGGCAGCAGUAGGGAAUCUUCCGCAAUGGGCGAAAGCCUGACGGAGCAACGCCGCGUGAGUGAAGAAGGUCUUCGGAUCGUAAAACUCUGUUAUUAGGGAAGAACAAAUGUGUAAGUAACUAUGCACGUCUUGACGGUACCUAAUCAGAAAGCCACGGCUAACUACGUG
rnacentral:rRNA from 1 species